rnacentral:rRNA from 1 species
GUACUAUGGAGUACUAGGGAUGANGGAUCCUGAGAUCUNAUAGUAUCGACUCCAUUGUGAGAAGCUGGCACGAAGACGGUCUAUAGUGAGUACGCCACAGCAUAUGUGCGCUAGAGGUACCCACAUGAUGAAUCGCCAAUCUCGAGCAGCAGUAGAUAUCGCAUGACAAGUUGACGAGGACGCGGUGAUGAGAGCGAAAGNNUGUAAAUCUUUGUGNNGAGAUANNCCAUGGAGGGAAUGCCCGUGGAUGACAGAACCGACGAAUAAGUCCCGGCUAACUACGUGCCAGCAGCCGCGGUAACACGUAGGGGACAAGCGUUAUUCGGAAUUACUGGGCGUAAAGGGCAUGUAGGCGGCCUGAUAAGCCUGGCGUGAAAGUCACCGGCUCAACCGGUGGAUUGCGUCGGGAACUGUUGGGCUUGAGUCAUGGAGAGGAAGGCAGAAUUCCUGGUGUAGGGGUGAAAUCUGUAGAGAUCAGGAAGAAUACCAGUGGCGAAGGCGGCCUUCUGGCCAAUGACUGACGCUGAGGUGCGAAAGUGUGGGGAUCAAACAGGAUUAGAUACCCUGGUAGUCCACACUGUAAACGAUGUGCACUAGGUGCUGGGGCGGAUGCUUCAGUGCCGGAGCUAACGCGGUAAGUGCACCGCCUGGGGAGUAUGCUCGCAAGGGUGAAACUCAAAGGAAUUGACGGGGGCCCGCACAAGCGGUGGAGCAUGUGGUUUAAUUCGAUGGUACGCGAGGAACCUUACCUGGGUUUGACAUACAGGGGGAUGCGGUAGCGAUAUCGCAGCCUAGCAAUAGGCCCCUGUACAGGUGCUGCAUGGCUGUCGUCAGCUCGUGCCGUGAGGUGUUGGGUUAAGUCCCGCAACGAGC